rnacentral:lncRNA from 1 species
UAACAUUGCCAGCCCAGAGCUUGUGUCUCCUCACAGCAGAAGACAGCAAAGGCUUCUGCAAUCCAGCUCACUGGGGACAAGGGAAGGGUGACUUUGGUUUAAAGAAGACCCUGAUGACUCUCAGGCCUGGCUUGGACCUUACCAGCACUCUGGAGACCCAGGACCCCCCUACCUUAGAGAACAAAGCUGGGAAGAGCUGCGUGAGGAUCGCGUUUCCUCCAGUUGACACCGCCAUCGCCAUCAUGAAGUAUGGUUGCCUCAGUGACCUUCAAAGACCUUGGCCCACACUCAAGGCCAAAGAACACACUGAAAAAUACCCAACAGUCAGGCAAGUGACAGGGUUUCUCUGCAUAGCCCUGGCUGUUCUGGAACUUGCUUUGUAGACCAGGCUGGCCUCGAAUCCACAGAGAUCUGCCUGCCUCUGCCUCUUGACCAAAUGCUGGGAUUAAAGGCAUGUGCCACCACCAACCACCCAGCUGAGAGACCAUCAUAAAGGGGCAGGCGUGGAAGCA